rnacentral:rRNA from 1 species
UACAGAGGUCCCGAGCGUUGUUCGGAUUUAUUGGGCGUAAAGGGUGCGUAGGCGGCGGAGUAAGUUGGGUGUGAAAUCCCGGGGCUCAACCUCGGAAUGGCAUUCAAUACUGCUUCGCUAGAGUACUGGAGAGGAGGCUGGAAUUUACGGUGUAGCAGUGAAAUGCGUAGAUAUCGUAAGGAAGGCCGGUGGCGAAGGCGGGUCUCUGGGCCGAUACUGACGCUGAGGAGCGAAAGCGUGGGGAGCGAACAGG